CGGCGAGCGGCGAACGGGUGAGUAACAUAUCGGAACAUAUCCUAUAGUGGGGGAUAACGCAGCGAAGGCUGUGCUAAUACCGCAUGAGAUCGUAAGAUGAAAGCGGGGGCUCGCAAGACCUCGCGCUAUUGGAGUGGCCGAUAUCAGAUUAGCUAGUUGGUGAGGUAAAGGCUCACCAAGGCGAUGAUCUGUAGCUGGUCUGAGAGGAUGAUCAGCCACACUGGAACUGAGACACGGCCCAGACUCCUACGGGAGGCAGCAGUGGGGAAUAUUGGACAAUAGGCGAAAGCCUGAUCCAGCAAUGCCGCGUGAGUGAAGAAGGCCUUCGGGUUGUAAAGCUCUUUUACCCGGGAAGAUAAUGACUGUACCGGGAGAAUAAGCUCCGGCUAACUCCGUGCCAGCAGCCGCGGUAAUACGGAGGGAGCUAGCGUUGUUCGGAAUUACUGGGCGUAAAGCGUA
rnacentral:rRNA from 1 species